GUCCACGCCCUAAACGAUGAUUACUCGAUGUGUGCGAUAUACUGUACGCGUCUGAGCGAAAGCAUUAAGUAAUCCACCUGGGGAGUACGACCGCAAGAUUGAAACUCAAAGGAAUUGACGGGGGCCCGCACAAGCGGAGGAGCAUGUGGUUUAAUUCGAUGAUACGCGAGGAACCUUACCUGGGCUUGAAAGUUAGUGAAGCAAGCAGAAACGUUUGCGUCCGCAAGGACACGAAACUAGGUGCUGCAUGGCUGUCGU
rnacentral:rRNA from 1 species